rnacentral:rRNA from 1 species
GACGGGACCGCACAAGCGGUGGAUGAUGUGGUUAAUUCGAUGCAACGCGAAAACCUUACCACCUUUGACAUGGCAGGAAUCCCGAAGAGAUUUGGGAGUGCUCGAAAGAGAACCUGCACACAGGUGCUGCAUGGCUGUCGUCAGCUCGUGUCGUGAGAUGUUGGGUUAAGUCCCGCAACGAGCGCAACCCUUGCCAUUAGUUGCUACGAAAGGGCACUCUAAUGAGACUGCCGGUGACAAGCCGGAGGAAGGUGGGGAUGACGUCAAGUCCUCAUGGCCCUUAUAGGUGGGGCUACACACGUCAUACAAUGGCUGGUACAGAGGGUUGCCAACCCGCGAGGGGGAGCUAAUCCCAUAAAACCAGUCGUAGUCCGGAUCGCAGUCUGCAACUCGACUGCGUGAAGUCGGAAUCGCUAGUAAUCGCGGAUCAGAAUGUCGCGGUGAAUACGUUCCCGGGUCUU